rnacentral:rRNA from 1 species
UGGUUGAUCCUGCCAGUAGUCAUAUGCUCAUUUCGAAGACUAAGCCAUGCAUGUCUAAGUAUAAGUUUUUAUACAACGAAACUGCGAAUAGCUCAUUAAAACAAUUAUAGUCUAUGUGGACAUAAUUACUACACGGAUACCUGUGGUAAUUCUGGAGCUAAUACGUGACUCAACAUCCGUUUGGAUGUCACUUAUUAGAUAAGAACCAACCUAUGCUUGCAUAGUAGUCUGGUGAUCCAUAAUAAGCUCGUGAAUCGCAUAGCAUCUGCUGGCGAUAUUCCACCUGAGUUUUUGACUUAUCAGCUAGACGGUAGGGUAUUGUCCUAUCGUGGCAUUGACGAGUAACGGGGAAUUAGGGUUUGAUUCCGGAGAGGGAGCCUGAGAAACAGCUACCACUUCCACGGAAGGCAGCAGGCACGCAAAUUGUCCAAUCCCAAUACAUUGGGGAGACAGUGAAAAGAAAUAUCAAUGCAGGGCUUUUCAGCUUUGCAAUUGGAAUGAGUUUAACCCAAAUCCCUUUACAAGUAUCAAUUGGAGGGCAAGUCUGGUAAUCACUAGUGAAUU